GUGUUGUAUGAAAGGAGAGAAGGUUAGCACUGCCCUCGACAAGGAUGGAGAAGCUCUCGGGCCUGACAACAUGCAUAUGGUUAAGGCACUGCCACCUACUUUGUGGCAUCUAACCAUUUUAUUUC